UGUGAGCGCUCACAGCAGCCAUCACGCAGAUCUAACAAAAUGGCUGCAGAUCUGACCCACAGACUCAUGGGAGCCGAAUAGACAUCUUUCCAAAGACACAGGAAUGGACGGCAGGUUUAGAAAAAGGCUCCACAUACCUAAUCAUGAGGAAAACGCAUUAAAAUCACAGUGAGGCAUCACCUCUCUGGUUAGGAUGAUAACAAAGGCAAACGAAGGAUUUUCUACGGACAUGAAAUUAUUGUUGCAGUUAAGUGCAUGGUAAUCCCCAGAACCCAUGGGAAAGAGAUGGAGGUGUAUGGCUUUGCACUUAUGACAGAAAGUUUCCGGAGACAUAUGCCAUUGCCAACCAAAGCACAACACGCAACCACCACAGUUCUCUGUGCAGGGCAGGUGGCUCUCAUGAUCCCAAGGCUGAAGCUCUGUCCCUCUUCACCCAGCCCAGAGGGAGGCUGAUUUCCAAAGUCCUGUGGGGACUGUGGAGUCAGAGAACGACAGAGGCCUGUGGAGGAGGUAAUUCUGCCCGAAGACCCCAGACGCCCACCUACCCCCACAACCUCCUCACUGGCCCUCACACUCCCAUGUCCUUCCCCGGGUCCAGCCCAGCUGCUGAUGUCCAGGAAGAAAACUUCUGUGACAGGAAGAGGGGGGCACCUGAGGGUGGAGACAGA